GGGCAAGCUGUGCUGCAGUUCUCCUUCUGGUUCUCCUCCUGAUGUUGUUUGCCUUUUUAUUGUAUAGAAAAAGGACAAUGGGCUCCACUGACAAUGAAAGAAAGAAACCUCUGGAUAUGCCUCUAGAACCUGAAGCUGGAGCAGAUUUUGAUGAAGUCUCCUAUGCUGUAUUGGACCACGGGUCAUUGAAGACCAAAUGGGCAGCCAAUCCUGAUACAGUCCCUGAAUCUUGUGUCUAUGCUUCAUUGGCCGAAGAUAGAACCAGGGAGGGCCAAUAGUCAGGACCUCUUAGGAAUGGAGAUACCCCUACCCCAUGGGCAGGCAGCAAAAGGCUGGUUCAUCCAAGCAGGCUCUGCUUAUUUUCUCAACAUAAA